CAGUCGCCGCGGUAAUACAGAGGGUGCGAGCGUUAAUCGGAUUUACUGGGCGUAAAGCGUGCGUAGGCGGCUUCUUAAGUCGGAUGUGAAAUCCCUGAGCUUAACUUAGGAAUUGCAUUCGAUACUGGGAAGCUAGAGUAUGGGAGAGGAUGGUAUAAUUCCAGGUGUAGCGGUGAAAUGCGUAGAGAUCUGGAGGAAUACCGAUGGCGAAGGCAGCCAUCUGGCCUAAUACUGACGCUGAGGUACGAAAGCAUGGGGAGCAAACAGGAUUAGAUACCCCAGUAGUCCCUGUCUCUUAUAC
rnacentral:rRNA from 1 species